rnacentral:rRNA from 1 species
UACGAAGGGGGCUAGCGUUGCUCGGAAUCACUGGGCGUAAAGGGUGCGUAGGCGGGUCUUUAAGUCAGGGGUGAAAUCCUGGAGCUCAACUCCAGAACUGCCUUUGAUACUGAAGAUCUUGAGUUCGGGAGAGGUGAGUGGAACUGCGAGUGUAGAGGUGAAAUUCGUAGAUAUCGGGAGGAACACCAGUGGCGAAGGCGGCGACCUGGGCCAAUACUGACGCUGAGGUGCGAAAGCGUGGGGAGCAAACAGG